rnacentral:tRNA from 1 species
GCCCUGGUGGCGGAAUGGUAGACGCGGUAGACUCAAAAUCUGCUGUCAGCAAUGGCGUGUGGGUUCAAGUCCCACCCGGGGUA